rnacentral:pre_miRNA from 1 species
AGUAUAAUUACUGGUCUUAAGGUAAGUGCAUGUUAGUUUUGUAAGAAACUGCCACACUAUUUUCCAGAAUGGCUGUUCCAUUUUACAUUCCCACCAGGGAU